GCUGCUGCUGCUGUGGCGGCUGCUGAGCUUUCUGUUGCAAGUGCAGCGGUACAUGCUGCUGCUGCUGCUGCUGUUGGGGAGGCGGCGGC
rnacentral:sRNA from 1 species